rnacentral:rRNA from 1 species
UACGGGGGGGGCGAGCGUUGUUCGGAAUCACUGGGCGGAAAGGGCGCGUAGGCGGCCCGCACAAGUCUGCGGUGAAAACCCCCGGCUUAACCGGGGGCCGGCCGUGGAAACUGUCGGGUUGGAGGCUGGGAGAGGGCAGCGGAAUUCCCGGUGUAGCGGUGAAAUGCGUAGAGAUCGGGAGGAACACCGGCGGCGAAGGCGGCUGCCUGGACCAGUCCUGACGCUGAGGCGCGAAAGCUAGGGGAGCAAACAGG